GAAGAGGAAGCCGAAGCUGAGACCACACCAUCUGAUACAGAAUUCGAUCCAUAUGAUGACUGCCUUACAAAUGUAUCACAAGAUGUCAUUGAUGUACUUAUGAUAUCAGAUGACGAACAGGAGGAUUUUGAAGGCUUUUAAAGGGAAACUGUCACGCCAGCAAAACCUGUAAAAAUACAGUGGCUUGCAGUUAUGAUGGGCGUUGCUAACUCGCCAGGGACUUGCUCUCUCUCUAUUGUUUGCUAUCUUCCCCCUAUCAUCAUCAGUUCCAGGUUGGUUCACAGCUUAGAAAACAAACAGCAUGGCAGCUCCCAUGGGUUUAUUGUCUUAUCCUUCCUUUCAGCUUUAGAGUGAAUUAGGAAAAGUUUAAUCCACUUGCACUGUUUUAUGUUUACAUGUUUGAUGACAAACAGCCUUAUGUUUAUAAGU